UAUGAGGUGGGAAGACAUUUGUGCACCUAUGGCCCCAAGAGAGUCUCUCGUUUGUAGAUGAAAUGAUUUGGGAACUAUGAAACUAGAGAUCUUUGUAAAGCUUUUUUCUGUGUAGACAUUUACAUUUAUGAAAUAUUCCAUAAAAAGAAAGAAAAUGAUGUAGAUGAGAAGCAAGUUUGUUGUCACUAAUUUAUGUUUCGUAUAUGUUCAAAAAAAAGUUUCGUGAAUUAAAAAC
rnacentral:lncRNA from 1 species